rnacentral:rRNA from 1 species
GAAAUCUUGCGCAAUGGGCGAAAGCCUGACGCAGCGACGCCGCGUGAGGGAUGAAGGCCUUCGGGUUGUAAACCUCUGUCAGGGGGGAAGAACCUGCGGCCGGUGAAUAGCCGGCUGCACUGACGGUACCCCCAGAGGACGCACCGGCCACCUCCGUGCCAGCAGCCGCGGUAAGACGGAGGGUGCAAACGUUGGUCGGAACCACUGGGCGUAAAGGGCGCGUAGGCGGAUCUGUAAGUCGGGAGUGAAAACUCGGGGCUCAACCCCGAGCCUGCUUCCGAAACUGCAAGUCUUGAGGACUGGAGAGGAAAGUGGAAUUCCCGGUGUAGCGGUGGAAUGCGUAGAUAUCGGGAGGAACAUCGGUGGCGAAGGCGACUUUCUGGACAGUUCCUGACGCUGAGGCGCGAAAGCUAGGGGAGCAA